AGAGAGAGAGAGAAAGAGAAAGGAAGUACCACGGAGGGUUCGCGGUGGCAGCAGCACGGGGCGAGAGCAGAUUAGCGUGAAUAAUGAAGACACGACCCCGUGAAAGCCUAAGCGGGUCUCCUUAAGUCUGUUCCUUCGAGUAGAAGCCGAAGCUGGAAAGGGAGGAUACUGAGAGAGGUGGAGCGGACAGAAAGGAGGUAGAAGCAGUUAAUUACUCCUCCCAUCCACGGGAUAACGACUUCCCCUUAUUUGUCGAGAGGCGCAAACAGCCAACCCUCUGCAAAAUCCCUUGCCAAGACGCUUUCUCCAGUGUAUACACGUACAUUUGACUUCAUAUAUACAUAGAUACGUGUAUCACGCCAUGUAUAUACACAUGUACACACACACACACACACACACAUACACGCUCGCGCGCGCAUAGGUAGACAAGACUGAGAACCAUCCGGUCCAUCUCCGGAGUACCGUUUCAUAUCCAUCCUCGAUCGAUCGGACAGAAUUUCGCGAUAGGAGUAUCCAUUUCGCACGGAUGAUGGGCGCAAAGUCAUCGCGAGUCAACCGCUUUCUUGGUUGCUCCCUCACUAACUCAUCGACAGCUACGGGAUGAUGUGGUAUAACACAUGUUACGGAUCCAGCCACGAAACAUGCAACGAAACAAAUGUUAGGCACACAUGCACCGCGGGCUGUCGGGCUAACGAUCAGGCUUCCUCCGUCGCAUCUGCACCUGUUACUCGAAUCCUAUGGUCACGUCGAUGCACGCGAGCUGCAUAUGCCGAUGGCCUUCCUCAGAGACAAAAUGCCUAAGGCUUGUCUCUCGCCGGCGUCCCCGUAGAUCCCAACUCCAGAAGGAUGAAAUUAGAAAUUCAGUCCUUGCAGCAAAUUUUCCACAUCUUAACGAUCCGCAAAAGGGAAGAAAUAGAUCAAGGGGGGAGAAGGCGCAGAAACUUUUAUUAUACGAAAUUAAAUCCCCAAUCUUCGAAAGUAAGAACGGAAUUUAAAAAAUUCGGCUUUCCAUUAAUCCGAUUAUAUUAAUAUUA